AAAAAAUCUGGAAAAAUCCAAAUGUGCCAUCAUCAGUGGAAUAAAUAUACCUAUAUUACACUAUGUUUGUCAAGUAGACCAUCAUACAACAAUGAAAUGAAUGAUUUAAAGCUACAGAUAUAAACAUGGAUGAAUAUACAAAACAAAUUAAAGUUUUUGCAGUAUGACAUUUAUGUAAAGUUUUUAAACUUUAAAAACUUUGAAUGAAAGUAAAAUGAAUCAAUACAUUGUAUAGGGAUAGAAACAUGGUAAAAAACAGAAUGAGUAAAACAGGAUUUGGGAAAAUGGUUAACUCUGGUUAGAAAGGAGGAAAGGGGGUGCAAUCAGGCAAUCAUGGGAACCUUCAAAGGCACUUGUAAUGCCAUUUCUUUUUAACUUGGUGGUCAUUAGCUAGGUUUUCAUUUUUAUUAAUGAUGUUUAAAAUGUACAUAUGUUAUAGACACUCUUGUAUAUGCAUAUAUAGAAUAAAUGCAUCACUCUCUUUUUUUACAGUGGAGUGGUACAUGUCCCUGUGGUUCUUUCCUAGUUCUAUAACUAAAUGAGAAAAAUAAGUGCACUAAUAAGAGUUUGUCAUUAGGUUGAAUUCCUUCAGUGUAAAGAACUGUCCUUCAUUAUGAGAUUGUAAUGUUCUUGCUAUCUGAUGUUUAAUGUCCCUUUAUAAAUUAAUAGAGAUUGUGAAUUGUAGGUGUUUAAAAAUGUCUUAUCUAGAUGAAAACCCUGAUAGUAGUGCCACAAUUUGAGGGGAAAUCUUUAGUGGUCCACAGCAUUUAAAUCUAGGAACUGUAGGUUUGUGUCAUUUACCUGUGUGAGGAGAUUGUGGAUAUAUGGUAAAGAUAAGGAAAUUUUUGUCAUUAAAUGGAGUAAUAGAACAUGAAGUUAGUUGGAUAUGUGGAUACAACUGUGGAACCAAAAUGGCUUCGUCAGGACCUUGUUGGCCUCAUCAUUACAAAAUGUCUAGAGGAAGUAGCCUGUAACUUAAUUUAUGUCCAACUUCAAAGCCCCCCUAGGUUGGGUGGAUUCUCUUGUGGGUAAGUAAAAAGAUGUGAGCAUUAGCACCAAUAUUUGAUUAACAGCUGGAAGAGGGAAUGGAGAGGAUCAGUAUUCAUGCUUGUCAUGCUAAAAUGACAAUAUUGUCUUAUAACUCAGAUCUUAUGCUUAGAGAAAAGGACUAGAAGUUGCAUUACUUUUGUGAACACUUAGAUUCAAAUGGGUAUACUAGAGAAUGCAAUUUUCUUUAUGUGUUAUGUUUUCAGAACUUAGUUAUAUGGAAGGGAAGAGCAGUAGCAUUUUUUUUUACUCAAUAUUUGCACAGAGUUCUAGUGGAAGAAUCCUUGAAACAUAGUUGUUUUUUAAGUUUUGAGUUGAGCCUUUGAUUUACAAACUAUAUUUAUAUGUAAAGGAUGUCCAGUUAGUGAACUAUCCUAUAGGUACCCCUUUCUUCUUCACUAUCAUUAAACUGUACCUCAUUUUCCCACUUCCUACCACAGACCCUAUUGUUGCCUGGGACCUUCGUUUUUAUCCCUGCUCUUUGAGUCUCACCUUACCACAAAACUGCUUGAUGCUGCAUCUGUGUUGAUAGGCUUAGGAAAAGGAAAGUGAGGAGGAGUAGGGAGGUAAACAAAUACCCCCAUUCCUAGAUUCUAACCUUGGCUCUAUUCUAGUUUAUUCUGUGACCAUAAGCAUAUGUCUCUCAGAGCCUGAUUACCUUAUUUAUAAAAUCACUGUACUACUCAUUUUAUAUAUUGUAUUGUUGGUAUUUAAAUCUAUUGAGAAUAUAUGUGAAAACACUAAUUACUGUAUAAUGAUGAGGUAAUAUUGUGAUUGCAUUCUUGGGUACUGUUAGUUUAGUACAUUUUUAGUUACACAGACUUUUGUGGACAGUCUUACAAACCUAAGUAUGUCAUUAAACAUUUACUUUGUAGAAAUAGUCUCUGAGUUUAAAUCAGCUUUUAAUGAACAUGCAUUCACACAUAUAUUGAAAGCUCAAUGAUAAGAGUAGCAACUAGGGACUAUUAUGUUCAUAAGUAUCUUGUGCUUAAUAUGGUUGCUAACACAUAGUAGGUGCUCACUAAAUUUUUGUUGAAUGAUCAUAUAAUACGCAUAAAUUAUUAUAAAGAACUUGCCAUCCAACAGAAAGUACUAUGUUAUACUUGUUGCAGUGAAUGGGAAUCUAUAGACAAGAAUGCUUUUCACUUAUCUUGGGCCAUCCUUUCAAUUUUAUAUGUGCAUUUGCAUGUGCUUUUAUGUUGAGAACAUAGUUAAUGUUGAGAACCUAGUUAAUGUUUAAAAAUCUACAGAGUUAUUUUCUGAGGAAAUGUAGGACAAUAAGAUUGCUUUAUGUAAUUUUUAAGUCAUGUAAUCAGCAACAAGAAAUUACUAAUUACAGCUAAGAAACUACUUUGCCAUAUUGGAGGAUGGAAGUUGACAAAGAGCUGUAUUGUUGAGCUUUGUUCUGUUUUAAAGGAAAGGUCAUUAUCUCCUAUCUCAAUUUAUAUGUUCUUUGGAAGGUUAUUAACAGACUUGUUUGCUAAGCCUGUGCUACUUCAGUGUGUGAACUAUAUUUUUAUUUGAAUUGCUUGCACUGUAACAGAACUUAUUGCUGAAUUUGUGUAGUGACAUCUUCAUAUAUUUAGUCCAUUCGAUAGGGUAGUGAUUCUCUUCAGGUUUGGACUUUCUUAAAUUCUUGUUGAUUGCUUUUGUUUUCAGUAUUUUAAUCUUUUUUCAACCCUUCUCGUUGCUUUAAGGACUUUAAAAUUUUUUAAAGCCUUGUUUUAUCAUCUUGGAAUUUGAGAUAAAGUAUAUAGUUCUUAUACUUUCAUCCUAAUUUAAACCAGUGUAUUUUAUCAUGACGAUUCAUGUGGAACUCUAUAGAAUUUAAGUGGAUUUUCCGACUACGAAAUUAGAUUAUUUCAAAACAUCAGCACUGUUUGUCAUUCGUCAUUUUGUAAAGAGAUGGUCUGGAAUUUGUUCAGAGAACUAUCAGAGUUAGUAUUACAGUGAAAUGCCUUCUUCAGUCCUAAUCUUUGGCUCUAUAGGAAGAGAAAUUAAAGCUGGGCAUUUUCUUUGGACAGGAACAUCUAGAAAAUCUUUCUGUUGUGGCCUUUUGUGGCUUUUGCCUCUGUUUGGGUGUCUGCCACUUGAAUAUUGAAAGAGCCACUAGACCAGAGAUAAUGUAUGUAGUUGUUCUCUUUAGUGGCAAGCUGUUAAUAAAGUUUUGCAAUUAGUUAUUUUUAAUGUUAAGGAGUAGCAAAAAAAAUAUUGUUUAUGUCAUGUUUUCCAGUUUUGGCCAUGA